CCCAAGCCAUCAUCAAAGGAGAAGCGAGGCCAAAAUGCAAACAGUGGGAGAGAGGAGUAGACGACUAGGUGCCGAUCCUGGCGGCGAUCUGCGGAGGCCAGCACGAGGCACGGUCCUCCUUCCUCUCCGAGAUAGCUAACCCGAUGUGCAGGCACAGGUUCUGAAACAACGUAGUGUGCCUGCUUGGCACACUACACCAACGCUUGGGACUCACGAUGCUUGCAUGGUCCUUCGCUGGACGUGUAGCCUGUCACCUUGUUGCCAGUCAUGCGGCUCCCCAGUGAUAUUUUCUUUCAUACACCCUCGUGUUUCUACGACUCAGCAUUGUUUGUUGAAAGACCCGCAGACUUGACUGAUGAAAGUACCGUGGAACAAAUUAGUGAAAUGAAUAUUUGGGAAAGAUCUAAUAGGCUUAGUUUAAUGUUUAUAAAAAUGACGAUUGUAAAUAAUAUAAAGUUUUCAUUACCGACUACAAUUAGCACACAAGAAUAUCUAAGGGCUAUUGAAGACAUAUUUAAAUUUAUUGAUAAGUCAUUGAUCGAUAUAUUAAUGAAGGAAUUAACUACGACUCAGUAUGAUGACACUUGAGGAAUUCAAGAUCACAUCCUUAUUAUGAUUGAUACGACAACGAAAUUUAAAGUAUUAGGCAUGAAUGUUGAUGAUUUUUUUUCUUAUGCAAUUGAUUCUUAAUUCUCUUCCUUCUCAGUUUGACCCAUUCAAAGAUAAGUGGGACUUGAAUGAGCUGAUUAGUAUGUGUGUUCAGGAAGAAUUAAGAUUAAGGCAGGAAAUAUCUCAUAAUAUUCUGACUACUAUUCAAGGGGCUAAUAACAAGAAAAGAAGGUUGAAGCACUAUCCAUCAAAUGAGCUUGUUGAGUUUGGAAAUAUUAAACACCCUACAAAAAAAAAAGUCAUCGUAGUAAAGUGCUUCUUUUAUAACGAGAAAGAACAUGUGAAAAGAGACUGCAUUAAAUACAAGACUUGGUUCAAAAAGAAAGGUAAAAACUCAACUUUUGUAUGUUUUGAAUUCAAUAUUAUAGAACUUCCUUCUAAUAUUUGAUGGAUUAAUUUUAGUACUUCAACUCAUGUUACUAAUAAUACGUAGGAAUUUCUUUCAAUUUGGAAGCUAAACGAACAUGAUAGAUUCGUCAUUAUGGAAAAUCAAUUCAAAGCAAGUAAUAUCAAUGAGAAUUUAUCGCCUAUGCCUCAAGACAAAUAUCUGAUGGAUAAUCUUGUUGACAUAUGUUCCUAUUAUUCUUAGAAAUUUAGUUUCUCUAUCUAGAAUUGAUGUGUUAGGAUAUUAUUUUUCUUUUGUAACUAUAAAUCAUUAUAUUUUAUGAUUUAAUAAAAGUUGAUUCUAAAAUUUUAUGUGAUGAUUUAUAUAUAAUUAAUUUGAAUCUUGACACUAUAAUCAAAUGUUUAAUUUAUAUAUAGUUUUAAUAAUAAAAUAUCUUUGAUAUUAUGACAUAGACGUUGAGGGCAUAUCUUAAAGGAAAAAAUUAAAAGAUUAGUGAAGAAUAAGAUUUUUUAGGAUAUAGACUCUAUUGAUUUUGAUGUUUACAUAGAUUAUAUUAAGAGAAAGUAAAUUAAACAUAUAAAGAAAAAUAUCAUAAGAAGUAAAGAACUCCUUAAGAUUAUUCAUAUUGAUAUUUAUGGUCCACUCCAUAUUUUUUCUUUGAAUAGAGAAAGAUAUUUCAUCACAUUUAUAGAUGAUAUGAUCAUGUAUAUCUAAUACAUAAAAAGUCUAAAAAAUUGUUGACACUUUUGAAAUAUACAUAAAUGAGGUCGAGAGAUAAUUAGAUAAAAAAAGUCAUGAUUGUUAGAUUUGAUAGAGAUGGUGAAUUUUAUGAUAAAUAUAUUGAAUUCAAUUAGAAUGUUAGUCCUUUUACUAGAUUACUAAAAAAAUGAGGUAUUUAUGCUUAGUAUGUCUUAACAAAUACUCUACGAUAGAAUGACAUUAUUAAAAGUGUAAAAUUAUACUCUUAUGGACACGAUUAGGAGUAUGAUGCUAUUCCUCUAUUCAUAGGUCAAUGUGAAUGAAAUUCUUAGUAUAAGUAUGUAUAUCUUAAACAGAGUUCAUAAUAAAUCGAUUUCAUUAACUCCGAAACUUAGUUUGAGACAUCUACAUAUUUGAAGGUGUCUUAUAAAGAUAAGAGUGUUUAGUCCACAUGAAAAGAAAUUAGAUCCAAAAAUUAUUUUUUAAUAUUUUAUUUAUUAUCCAGAAAAAUCCAAUGGAUACAAAUUUUAUUGUCUUAAUCAUAGUAUGCGGAUAGUAGAAUUUGUCAAUAUAAGAUUCUCAAAAAAUGAUAAAAUAAGAGUAAAAAAGUUUGAAUGAUCAAUUUUGAUAUUGAGGAGAUACAAGUUAAUACUUCUUUUCAUCUUCUAUUCGAGAGAUUACUAUUUCUCAAAUCACUGAGAGAACUAACGAGGAUGAAUAAUAAAAUAACAUUGAUAAACUCUCAUAUAAUGUUAAUAUCAUCGUUAAUGAUCUUAUAGAACAAUUAUAAUUAACAGUUUUGAGAAUCUCAAAGAAAAAAAGGACAUGAUAUUUUUGAUAAUUAUAUGGUAUAUUUAUAAGAAUCAGAUUAUAACAUAGAGAUGAAAGGGAACCCCUUAUCAUUUUUGUCAUAAAAAGUAGUAAUCUUGAAAAGUAUAUGUAAUAUCCCCCAUUUUUGAAAAUUUAGUAAAUGCUUAUUUGUAAAUAUGAGGAUUAUUUAAUAAUUUUUUAUAUUAAAUAAUAUUAUAAUAGAAGUUUGAUAUGAUUUAUGAAAGUUUCAGAUUUAAGUUAAAAAAUAAAAAAAAUUAGUGGACAUGUGUCAUUAGCUAACCUAAUGGUGCCACCUAAGUUUGCUCUAAGGAUGACAUCUAGCACUUUUCAUGCAUGCUUGCCACCUUGAAACUUUGCAACUCUUGUGUUAACCAAAAGUAAUUAAAUAAGAGAUUAAAGGAGAAACUAAAUGUAACCUUCAGAUGCUGCAUCCAACGUGAGUCUAAGAAAAGAAGAGAAGGGAAGAAGAAGAAGAAGAAGAGGAAUUGAAGAAGAAGAUUUGAUUGAGGUUUUUGCAUCAACUCCCUCCAUUUGGGAAUCAAAUUUGUUUAAGGCAAGUGUUCUGACCUCUUCCUAUAGAAUUCCUAAUCUCUGUUUUCCUUUUAAUUUUUCAUAAUUUAAAAGAUUUCAGCUUAGUACCAAACCGUUCUUUCCUUUUGAUACAAAGCUAUGAAUCUUAAAUUUUUCGGUAAUCUGACUUCUAUACAUUGUUUUGGAUCUAACUUUUAGUACUAAACUCUGAUUUAUGCAAAACCUAAUCCAUUUGAAAUUAGACUCAAAUAUCUCUAUUUUGACACUAAGAUUGAAUGAUUUGGAGUUUAAAUGCCUACUAAGACUUCUGUUUCAAUUAACCUUACAGAUUCUGCAAAAUAGGGACUGAAAUAUCUGACCUUCUAUUACUAAAUUGCUCAUAACUCUCUAGAAAAAAUUCUGAAUUAUACAAAGCUUGGUUCUUUUGAAACUAGAUUCGCAUAUCUUUCUUUUGACAUAUAAUUUAGUAAUUUUGAAGUACGUUUGCCUUCUGAAACAUCUGUUUAAAUUGACUCUAUCAAUUCUGCAAAACAGAGAUGAUCAAUUCUGACCUUUCUUUGCUCUAUUUGUUGUAACUUACUGUUAAGAACUCAAAAAAUUAUAAAUCUGAGUUUAUCCGAAAAUAGAUUGAUACAGCUUUCCAAUGAAAUCUAUUUUUAGUGAUUUGGAGCAUGCUUGGUCACUCAAACAAUUCAGGAAAUGUACCAUUCAAAUUCUAUCAGAAUUGAAAACUUUGUUGGGUUUUGCCUAUUCAAUUUUCAUCCUAUUGGAAAUAUGAUUUCUGCUAAAUUCUUCUUCAAUUGAGCUUUAUAUUAGUCCUUUGAAGUUCUUGUAUUGUUCAUCCUGAAAUUAUUGUAUAACUGAAAUUUAUUAUGUAAUGCUUUGUUUGCAUUUCCUUGUUUGAUAAAGGCACAUGCAUAUCUUCGUUGUUCCGCAUGUGCUUCUGAUAUGUGUCAAUGUUAUUGUUCAUACUACCCUUUUGUACUCUGGUAUCUUGUGGGAUAUUAUGAACCUUUGCUAGAAAUGGUAAAGGGAGUUAUGCUUAGAGCCCGCGAUUACUCUGCCGGCCCUAUUGACUUCACUCAGACGUGGGUGGAUGGAGCUCCCAGACGUGAGAGACUUAUGCUUGGUGGUCAUCCAGAAAUGGAUGAAUCACAUUAUAUAUGUGGUCCCACAGCGCCAUCUAUGUUUAUUGAUAUGAUAUCCAAAGCUUUGUUUAUGAGUUCAUAUUAUGCUUUGGAUAAAAAUGGAAUGCAUUCUACAACAAAAAUGACAUACAAGCUUGUGUUUAUUACUCGGUUCACUUGUUAUACCUUGAAGUGUUUCGUAUGUCAUUGUUAUGCUCUCAAACACUCUUAUGCCUUUGAUAUGUAUCUAAAUGCUUCAUGUGCCAUUUGAUACAUGCCUAAAUGUUUCUUUUGCCAAUGAAAUGCUCCAAUUUCCUUUCUCCUAUUGUUAUGUCUAAUGCCUGUUUUUGAACGAGGUAAACCUUUGUGAUUUUAUAUCAAAUGAGAUGACUUCAAAUGAACAUUUGUAUUUCUACUUUGUAUCUUGAUACUAAACCUGCUUGAACUUCUCCUAUCGCCAUGGAUAUGUUAGACACUUGCUAAGCUCUUUAUGCUCACCCUGUUGAUAUAUAAAUUUUUCAGGGUAGCUUGUCACGCACUGAAAAGCUAGAAUUGGGUUAAAGCAGUGAAAGGCUAGAAGAUUUUUGAGCUAAUUUUGUUGGAUGAUGGUUUUUGUUGUAUAGUAAACUUUACUUCUGAUGUAAUGUUAAGGAUCUGUUGAUUCUUAUGUGUUGUAAAAGUUUAAAGGACCGCUCAUGUGUAUGGAAUGAUAAGUUUAAGUCUUAUAAGGAUAAGAACUCAUGGUAAAUAA